ensembl:misc_RNA Y_RNA Y RNA
GGCUGAUCCGAGUGCACUGGUGUUUACAACUUAUUGGUUACAACCAGUUAUAGAUUUCUGUUCCUUCUCUACUCCCACUGCUUCAUUUGGGUAGCCUAAA